AAGGGAUGCUCUCUCCUCCUUUAUUUCAAAUUUCGUUCGAGACCCCUCCCUCCUCUCCUCUCCUCUGGUCGCCCGACGCUCUCUUUCAGUUGUUGGGAAACGACGGAGGCUUGGUGGCAUUGGGUCGGAUGGCACUACGGCACGAGCUUCCCUCAGGGGUCGUCGGAGAGAAAUAGACACGAAUGUUGGCGUCUGUGCAGUCGUUACACUAGCCGGCCGACCCAGAAGAGAACGAAGUCGAACUCCCUGUCGACGUCGUCGUCGUCCUCCGUACUGGCACGUCGUAACCGGCACGCCAAUACCGUCUCUCCUAUUCCUCCUCCUAUGCGGAUGCUGCCUCCAUCCAUUGAGAUGAUUAGUUUGAGCAUCACUCAUUGCUCGGCUGAAUGGAGCGCUAGAACAAAAGCUAGCACAGUCACCAAAAACUGUUAUGGUGAGACAAUGCCGAUGAGUAGAAUUGCCUAUCUAGGCAAAUACCUAGAGCAGAUGAGACCUGUAGAUGAAGUACUUAAGACAUGCAUAGUCCAUCAAUGCCGGCAUAUCUUCUUGACAUAACAAUGCUCUCGGCUUUGCGGAAAGACGGACACACUUAUAUCUACUAAGGCAAACUGAGCCCAAAGUGAAGAGCUUGCCCAAAUUGAUAUGCUGACUGCAGACAUCGACACGUUCCCGGCUUGCCUAAUACUUGGAACCAACUUUUUUACGGGGCUUUGUUUUACUAAUUUUUCACUUGUUAUAAUGUACGCUUACUGGCAAUUGUAACAAUUUACUUCUCUGCCUCCCCUGACAAUUCUAUGGGAGAGUGUGAAUAUGAAAAUGUCUCAUUUGUCAUGUAAAGACAACUAAAAGCAUAUUGCUUUUGCUCGAAACUAAGGUGGCUCGUUUCUACUUAGCAUUUA